UACGUAGGGUGCGAGCGUUAAUCGGAAUUACUGGGCGUAGAGCGUGCGCAGGCGGUUUUGUAAGCCAGAUGUGAAAUCCCCGGGCUUAACCUGGGAAUGGCAUUUGGGACUGCAAGGCUGGAGUGCGGCAGAGGAGACUGGAAUUCCUGGUGUAGCAGUGAAAUGCGUAGAUAUCAGGAGGAACACCGAUGGCGAAGGCAGGUCUCUGGGCUGACACUGACGCUCAUGCACGAAAGCGUGGGGAGCAAACAGG
rnacentral:rRNA from 1 species